AACGAACGCUGGCGGCAGGCUUAACACAUGCAAGUCGAACGCCCCCUCGUGGGAGUGGCAGACGGGUGAGUAACGCGUGGGAAUCUACCUAGUUCUACGGAACAACAGUUGGAAACGACUGCUAAUACCGUAUACGCCCUAUGGGGGAAAGAUUUAUCGGAAUUAGAUGAGCCCGCGUAAGAUUAGCUAGUUGGUGGGGUAAUGGCCUACCAAGGCGACGAUCUUUAGCUGGU
rnacentral:rRNA from 1 species